rnacentral:tRNA from 1 species
GGAUAGCUCAUUUGGUUAGGGCAUGGUGCUAAUAAUGCCGAGGUUGCAGGUUCGAUUCCCGUAUGGGACA